rnacentral:RNase_P_RNA from 1 species
AACGGUAACUGUCCUGUCGCUGCUUUCGGUAGAAAUACCAAAGGAGAGGAAAGUCCGGGCAACAUAGAGCACCAUGCUUCCUAACAGGAAGGGACUUCGCGAGAAGUUACAGAUAGUGCCACAGAAAAGAUACCGCCCUAUUAAAAUAGGGUAAGGGUGAAAACGCGAGGUAAGAGCUCACGGCAAGUACAGUGAUGUGCUUCGCGGCAAACCUCAUGGGUUGAAAAGCCAAAUAUACCGGGGUUAGAGGGUGGCUCGCCCAACUCGGAGGGUAGGCUGAUAAAGUUUUAUGGCAACAUGAAACGUAGAUAAAUGACAGGAAUAUACAGAACCCGGCUUAUAGGUUACCGUUUUUU